UACGAAGGGGGCUAGCGUUGUUCGGAUUUACUGGGCGUAAAGCGCACGUAGGCGGAUUGUUAAGUCAGGGGUGAAAUCCUGGAGCUCAACUCCAGAACUGCCUUUGAUACUGGCAAUCUAGAGUCCGGAAGAGGUAAGUGGAACUCCUAGUGUAGAGGUGGAAUUCGUAGAUAUUCGCAAGAACACCAGUGGCGAAGGCGGCUCACUGGCCCGGUACUGACGCUGAGGUGCGAAAGCGUGGGGAGCAAACAGG
rnacentral:rRNA from 1 species